GCCUUUGCGCAGUGGCAGUAUCGUAGCCAAUGAGGUUAAUCUGAAGCGCGAUUAUUGCUAAUUGAAUUCAAUCUGCCUCACCUAGAUUGUAUGCAACAUAAUGUUGGCUGAACAUUACCAAGGCCAUCAUUUUGA
rfam:Alligator mississippiensis ScZkoYb_8, whole genome shotgun sequence.